rnacentral:rRNA from 1 species
CCUUCAUGUCAUUUUUUGGGCCUUUCCGUGUUUUUUGCUUUAUUACGGGGCACAAAUUAUAUGUUCGGCCAUUGUUUUCGAAUAUUUUUGCAUGUAUCAAAACUCUUAUAAGCAAGAUAGGGUAUUCCUACAUAGCUGGUGGGACCUACCGCAAAUGGAUCAUAAAGUCUUCAAAAAAGAAUAUAUAUAAUUGCAUUACAUGUAGUAACAGCUACGAUCAUACCAGCACUAAUGAACCGGAUCCCAUCAGAACUCUACAGUUAAGCGUGCUUGGGCGAGAGUUGUACUAGGAUGAGUGAGCUCCAGGAAAGUCCUCGUGUUGCAUCCCUCUUUUUUUCGGUUUUUCUCUUUUUUUUGUUAAAAAUAUUUGACUCAAUAACUUAUACACGG